CCUACGGGGGGCAGCAGUAGGGAAUAUUGCACAAUGGGGGAAACCCUGAUGCAGCAACGCCGCGUGAGUGAUGAAGGUUUUCGGAUUGUAAAACUCUGUUAUUAGGGAAGAAAAUGUCUGUACCUAACUAAGAAGCUCCGGCUAACUACGUGCCAGCAGCCGCGGUAAUACGAAGGGGGCAAGCGUUAUCCGGAAUCACUGGGCGUAAAGUGCGCGUAGACGGGAGAGCAAGUCUGAUGUGAAAGCCCACGGCUCAACCGUGGGACGGCUUUGGAAACUGGCCGUCUAGAGUGCAGGAGAGGUAAGUGGAAUUCCAGGUGUAGCGGUGAAAUGCGUAGAGAUAAGGAGGAACACCAGUGGCGAAGGCGACUUACUGGACUGUAACUGACGCUGAGGCGCGAAAGCGUGGGGAGCAAACAGGAUUAGAUACCCUAGUAGUC
rnacentral:rRNA from 1 species